UAUGGCUAUAGUAUAUAAGAUAUUCACGUCAUUUCUCCACCUUAUCGGUCCUAUUAACGCCGGCCCUAAUUCUGCCAGUCCCAAAUUUAGUCUAACCACUUAGUGCUGUUGUUUUAACACCGCUGUGAUAGCAAAAGGAAAAAAAUUAAUCUUUGCAAACAUUUUCUUUUUUUUUAGGCUGAAUGCUUUUCAAAAAUGUUUGAAAGGUUUGAUUAAGUUUUAGUUGGAUUAAUUAACAAAGCCAUUAGCCAUAGAUAUUUUUUGAGUUCGUUUGUCCCUACUUAGUCUACCAUUAUGGAUUCCUGUUUUUAUAAAGUUGAACAGUUCACUAUUGCCGAGGUUGCUUUAGGAGGAUUGUAGUGAUGGGAGGGGGAGGGAAAGGGUAAAGUUAAAUUUAGCUACCAACCUACCCAAGAAAAAGCGCCGCCAUUAUUAUUUUUUCCCUAAAAGUCAAUUUAGCAGGACCCGACCGCGCCGUAUGAAUUUGUUUAAUUACAAAUCAAAAAACUUAAGUUAGACUCAAUUUAUAUAUAUAUAAAAAAUGAAAUUAAGGCUGAACCAAAACAUUGGUGUUUCUUAUUCAAAAAAGCGUGCAAUAGGAUUUGUGAUUGUCUCCUUAGCGUGAAUCCACUUAAACGUUUCUUUUUUUUCAGUAACAAGUCAAGAUGAAAAUAACAUUCCAAAGUACGAAACUGUAGAUGUAGUUGAUGGGAAGGACAAGCAAGCUGAAAACCUGUACUAUUCACCCGCAGAAGAGCGAAUUGACAAACGCGCUAAUCAAAUUCCAGGUAGUGAUUACGACACAUCUGUGUAUAGCGAUGUCAAAGAAAAACAAAUUGUCCAAAACGGGAUUGAUUUUGAUGACGACAAAUCUCCUCUUUUAAGUGGAGAUAAACCAAAAACGUUUGCUUUCCAGUCUGAUCAAUACGACGAAGUUGGAUCCGUAAUGCAUGGUAGUGCUGACUCAGCAAGAAAAGAAUAUGACGAAGUGGGGACUGUAAUCUUUCAUCAAUGACAUCACCUUAUCGGUGUUAAAAAAGCAUAAAUCUUGUUUGUCACUUGCCUUUUGUUUGUUUGUUUGUUUGUUUGUUUUUUGUCUCCAGUGCUUUUCUCUUGGGUCAUUGUGUGAUGUUUUUAUAUUUUUGAAUUUUCACUGGCGUUAAAAGAAGGGCGGUAAUCUUCUAGGGUGUUAAAAAGUACAUGCGGCAUAGAGGCAAAAGUAAAUUAGUAAAUUCCUCCUUCGACUCGAUUACCCAAAAGUUUUUCAGUGAACGAUAUUUGGUGCAGGAGGUAUAAUAUUCAUGCACGUUUCACAUGACAUUAUUUAUAUAGGUGACUUAAUUUAUAUUUAUUUAUUUAUAUUUUUAUUUAAAUGUUUGAAGUUUUAUAUUCUUAUUUACAUUUCGUAUUAGGAAGUAUAUUUUUUUACAUGCUGUAAAAUAUUUUUGUUGCAACUUUUACUUACAUAACACAGCGUUCGUGUUUUUCUAUGUGA